CUACGGGCUGCAGCAGUGGGGAAUAUUGCACAAUGGGGGAAACCCUGAUGCAGCAACGCCGCGUGGAGGAUGACGCAUUUCGGUGUGUAAACUCCUUUUAUAUAGGAAGAUAAUGACGGUACUAUAUGAAUAAGCACCGGCUAACUCCGUGCCAGCAGCCGCGGUAAUACGGAGGGUGCAAGCGUUACUCGGAAUCACUGGGCGUAAAGCGCGCGCAGGCGGCCCCUUAAGUUGGAUGUGAAAGCCUACGGCUUAACCGUCGAACUGCAUCCAAAACUGAGGGGCUAGAGUCUGGGAGGGGAAGAUGGAAUUAGUUGUGUAGGGGUAAAAUCCGUAGAGAUAACUAGGAAUACCAAAAGCGAAGGCGAUCUUCUGGAACAGUACUGACGCUGAGGCGCGAAAGCGUGGGGAGCAAACAGGAUUAGAUACCCUAGUAGUC
rnacentral:rRNA from 1 species